rnacentral:rRNA from 1 species
CCUACGGGGGGCAGCAGUAGGGAAUCUUCCGCAAUGGACGAAAGUCUGACGGAGCAACGCCGCGUGAGUGAUGAAGGCUUUCGGGUCGUAAAACUCUGUUGUUAGGGAAGAACAAGUGCUAGUUGAAUAAGCUGGCACCUUGACGGUACCUAACCAGAAAGCCACGGCUAACUACGUGCCAGCAGCCGCGGUAAUACGUAGGUGGCAAGCGUUAUCCGGAAUUAUUGGGCGUAAAGCGCGCGCAGGUGGUUUCUUAAGUCUGAUGUGAAAGCCCACGGCUCAACCGUGGAGGGUCAUUGGAAACUGGGAGACUUGAGUGCAGAAGAGGAAAGUGGAAUUCCAUGUGUAGCGGUGAAAUGCGUAGAGAUAUGGAGGAACACCAGUGGCGAAGGCGACUUUCUGGUCUGUAACUGACACUGAGGCGCGAAAGCGUGGGGAGCAAACAGGAUUAGAUACCCUUGUAGUC